AAGAAUUAUUUAGUUUUGGGUGCUUUAUUAGCGUAAAAGGGAACCUCGUGAAAUUCGGGGACGAGCCCGUCGCUGUAACCGGGGACAAAUUUCAUACUACGGCCACUGGGGUAAACCUGGGAAGGCGUGAAAAAUGGAUGAACCGGAAGUCAGAAGACCUACCUGAAAUGUGAGAUACGG
rnacentral:ncRNA from 2 species